UACGGGGGGGGCAAGCGUUGUUCGGAAUUACUGGGCGUAAAGGGCGCGUAGGCGGCCUUCUAAGUCGGACGUGAAAUCCCUCGGCUUAACCGAGGAACUGCGUCCGAUACUGAAAGGCUUGAAUCCGGGAGAGGGAUGUGGAAUUCCAGGUGUAGCGGUGAAAUGCGUAGAUAUCAGGAGGAAUACCUAUGGCGAAAGCAGGUAUCUGGGCCACAACUGACGCUGAGCUGCGAAAGCUAGGGGAGCAAACAGG
rnacentral:rRNA from 1 species